UACGGAGGAUCCGAGCGUUAUCCGGAUUUAUUGGGUUUAAAGGGAGCGUAGGCGGGUACUUAAGUCAGUUGUGAAAGUUUACGGCUCAACCGUGAAAUUGCAGUUGAUACUGGGUGCCUUGAGUGCAGUAGAGGUAAGCGGAAUUCGUGGUGUAGCGGUGAAAUGCUUAGAUAUCACGAAGAACUCCAAUUGCGAAGGCAGCUUGCUGGACUGUAACUGACGCUGAUGCUCGAAAGUGUGGGUAUCAAACAGG
rnacentral:rRNA from 3 species